UACGUAGGGAGCAAGCGUUGUCCGGAUUUACUGGGUGUAAAGGGUGCGUAGGCGGCUUUGCAAGUCAGAAGUGAAAUCUAUGGGCUUAACCCAUAAACUGCUUUUGAAACUGCAGGGCUUGAGUGAAGUAGAGGUAGGCGGAAUUCCCGGUGUAGCGGUGAAAUGCGUAGAGAUCGGGAGGAACACCAGUGGCGAAGGCGGCCUACUGAGCUUUAACUGACGCUGAGGCACGAAAGCGUGGGUAGCAAACAGG
rnacentral:rRNA from 1 species